GGGGUUGACGGUACCCUACUAGAAAGGAGCCGCUAACUUCGUGCCAGAAGCGUCGGUAAUACGGGGGCUCCAAGCGUUAUCCGGUGUUAUUGGGCGUAAAGAGUCGUGUAGGUGGUUGGGUAAGUUAUCUUUCAAAUAUCUUUGCUUAACAAAGAGGAGGGGGAUAAUACUGCUCGACUAGAAUUUUCUCAAGGGAGAUCGGAACUGAGGGAGGAGUAGUGAAAUGCGUUGAUACCCUCGGGAACACCAGUGGCGUAGGCGGAUCUCUGGGAGAAGAUUGACACUGAGACACGAAAGCUAGGGGAGCGAAGCAGAUUAGAGACCUGCGUAGUCCUAGCCGUAAACGCAUGCUUGCUAGCUGCAUGAAUCUACCUUCGGGUGGUAUCGUGUGGCGAAGGUAACCCGUUAAGCAAGCCGCCUGGAAAGUACGGCCGCAAGGCUGAAAUUCAAAGGAAUUGGCGGGGAGGCACACAACCAGUGGAACAUGUGGUUUAAUUCGAGACUAACCGAAGAACCUCACCAGGGUUUGACAUGUAGCUGCACGUCUUAAGAAAUUAAGACUCUCUUGAAGGUGCUACACAGGUGCUGCAUGGCUGUCGUCAGCUCGUUCCGUGAGGAGUGCCCUUAAGUGGGACAACGAGCGCAACCCCUAUUACAUGUUAGAAAUGUCAUGUAAGACUGCCUUGCCAUUUGGCGGGGAGGAAGG
rnacentral:rRNA from 1 species